rnacentral:rRNA from 1 species
GUGCUUAGUUUUAUUUGUAACAAAGCUUUGGCUGGGCGCUUGCCGUCUGGCCAGAGGUUAACCAAAACACAAGAUUUUCAAUCUUUCUUUUAAAAAUUAGUCAAGAAGUUUAUUAAAACAAAUCUUCAAAACUUUCAACAACGGAUCUCUUGGUUCUCGCAACGAUGAAGAACGCAGCGAAAUGCGAUACGUAAUGUGAAUUGCAGGUUUUCGUGAAUCAUCGAAUCUUUGAACGCAUAUUGCGCCCUCUGGUAUUCCGGAGGGCAUGCCUGUUUGAGCGUCAUUUCUCUCUCAAACCCCUAGGGUUUGGUAUUGAGUGAUACUCUGUUAAACUGGGUUAACUUGAAAUAGUGUGGCAAGAGCUGCUUUGCGCAGGUCUUCUCUGAACUAACGUUUCUAGGUUCUACCAAUUCGUUAUGGGCAGUGGAGGGCGCGUCUGGCGUUUGGGCUCGGCCUAACAACACCUUCUUAAAGUUUGACCUCAAAUCAGGUAGGAUUACCCGCUGAACUUAAGCAUAUCAAUUAGGCGGAGG